GAUGAACGCUGGCGGCGUGCUUAACACAUGCAAGUCGAACGGAAAGGCCCAAGCUUGCUUGGGUACUCGAGUGGCGAACGGGUGAGUAACACGUGGGUGAUCUGCCCUGCACUUCGGGAUAAGCCUGGGAAACUGGGUCUAAUACCGGAUAGGACCACUUCGUAGUUGUUGUGGUGGAAAGGUUUUUCGGUGUGGGAUGAGCUCGCGGCCUAUCAGCUUGUUGGUGGGGUAAUGGCCUACCAAGGCGUCGACGGGUAGCCGGCCUGAGAGGGUGUACGGCCACAUUGGGACUGAGAUACGGCCCAGACUCCUACGGGAGGCAGCAGUGGGGAAUAUUGCACAAUGGGCGGAAGCCUGAUGCAGCGACGCCGCGUGGGGGAUGACGGCCUUCGGGUUGUAAACUCCUUUCGCCAAAGACGAAUUUAGGACGGUAUUUGGAGAAGAAGCACCGGCUAACUACGUG
rnacentral:rRNA from 1 species